rnacentral:rRNA from 1 species
CCUACGGGGGGCAGCAGUGGGGAAUAUUGCACAAUGGGCGCAAGCCUGUUGCAGCCAUGCCGCGUGUGUGAAGAAGGCCUUCGGGUUGUAAAGCACUUUCAGCGGGGAGGAAGGCGGUGAGGUUAAUAACCUCAUCGAUUGACGUUACCCGCAGAAGAAGCACCGGCUAACUCCGUGCCAGCAGCCGCGGUAAUACGGAGGGUGCAAGCGUUAAUCGGAAUUACUGGGCGUAAAGCGCACGCAGGCGGUCUGUCAAGUCGGAUGUGAAAUCCCCGGGCUCAACCUGGGAACUGCAUUCGAAACUGGCAGGCUAGAGUCUUGUAGAGGGGGGUAGAAUUCCAGGUGUAGCGGUGAAAUGCGUAGAGAUCUGGAGGAAUACCGGUGGCGAAGGCGGCCCCCUGGACAAAGACUGACGCUCAGGUGCGAAAGCGUGGGGAGCAAACAGGAUUAGAUACCCUUGUAGUC